GAUAAACGCUGGCGGCGUGCAUAACACAUGCAAGUCGAACGAAGUGGCGAACGGGUGAGUAACACGUGAGUAACCUGCCUUACACAAGGGGAAAGCCUCUGGAAACGGAGAAUAAUACCCUAUAGUGUAAGAUGGACUUGCGUCUGAUUAGCUAGUUGGUGAGAUAAAAGCUCACAAAGGCGACGAUCAGUAGCCGGAUUGAGAAGGUGUACGGCAAAAUUGGGACUGAGACACGGCCCAAACUCGACGGGAGGGAGCAGUGGGGAAUUUGGAACAAUGGGGGAAACACUGAGGCAGCGACGCCGCGUGAUUUAGAAGGCCUACGGGUUGUAAAAAUCUUUUUUACGGGAUGCAGUACCGAAAGAAUAAGGUCCGGCUAAAUACGUGCCAGCAGCCGCGGUAAUUC
rnacentral:rRNA from 1 species